GAGGAAGCUUCUUCAGGCAGGACGAGUGAGGAGAAACUGAAAAAGUGCAUCCUGCUGGCAACACAGGAAGUGACUUGGCUGCCAGUGACCCUCAGGUGGCAAGUGAGGAGUGAAACCCCAGCUCUUGGCCCUCAGAGCUGCAUUUCAAAAUGCCCAAGCAAUAGGAACAGGAACCACACCCAAGUUCUGCAGCAGCAGUCUACACCAGAACUGAUGGACUGUGCCUUCUGCAAGGGAGAGUCCUCUAGAGGGCUUCAGAGUUGCCUGAAGAACCAGGAACAACUUGAAGAUAGAGAAGCAAACAGGACUCCCUGAGUUCUGUCCUCACAUGACCCAACUGCCUCUGGCUCUGGGAUUUGGAAGCUGUCCUUUAGAGUGAGCGUUAGAAAGAGAAGAGAGGUCAGAAGUCACAAUGAACCAGCCACUCCUACAGGAGCUCACAGGAAGUCCACACAGCACCAGACAAGCUCUGGGACAGAAGCAAGGAAAUGAAGCAGAGUGUGGAGUUAGGGCGACCAUAGAACUCUCUGACAGCUAGCCUACUGCAGAGAAGGCUGUGUAGUGGCUAUUCCUGGUUGUCAACUUGACAAUAUUUGGAAUGAACUACAAUCCGGAAUUGGAAGGCUCACCAGUGACCCUUAUCUGGAGGCUUGGAGAUCCUUAUCUGGAUCUUGGUUUGAAGAUCUUCAGCCAUAGUGGCUAUGGAUUCCAGAAGAU
rnacentral:lncRNA from 1 species